rnacentral:lncRNA from 1 species
UCUUGGCCUUCUUCUUCAUUAUCACUGCAAGGCCAAAGGAUGGAAGGAUGAGGAUUUCACCAAACUCUUUCACAGAAAACUCUAGUCUUCGACCGUUAAUAAUAAAAAUAUUUCUACCAACAUACCUCCCUAUAAGAUCGUCUAGGUGACGAGCCUUGAUUUUGAAAUCUGGGAUAGCAUAGAAUUGACCGAAAUAGGUAGACUUUAUUCUUUUUGUCACAUUAUCGGUGAACUGUAUACAUCCGGUCUGCGCAACCUCGUUGUAAGUCGGUAUUCCUGAUCGAUGACGAAUUAAAUGGUUUACUGUUUAUUUCAUACCAAAAAAUAUUAUCAAUAUCUAACAUCAAAAUAGGAUGGUUCAAUAGUUGAAAUUACAUAACUGUGUGUCUCGUCAUGAUGGUGCUUGACAGUUUUUCCCUUCGAUCGUUUCACCACUUCUGGUAUUUCAUCUGAAGAUGAAGUAUUCUUAUCAGACAUUAGAGUUUUUUUCGCAGAAGAUUUCACCUUCACAUUUUUUUUUAGCAGAGGCCUCCCUCUUUUUAGGGGUGUCAG